rnacentral:rRNA from 1 species
UGGGGAAUUUUGGACAAUGGGGGAAACCCUGAUCCAGCCAUCCCGCGUGUGCGAUGAAGGCCUUCGGGUUGUAAAGCACUUUUGGCAGGAAAGAAACGUCGCGGGUUAAUACCCCGCGAAACUGACGGUACCUGCAGAAUAAGCACCGGCUAACUACGUGCCAGCAGCCGCGGUAAUACGUAGGGUGCAAGCGUUAAUCGGAAUUACUGGGCGUAAAGCGUGCGCAGGCGGUUCGGAAAGAAAGAUGUGAAAUCCCAGAGCUUAACUUUGGAACUGCAUUUUUAACUACCGGGCUAGAGUGUGUCAGAGGGAGGUGGAAUUCCGCGUGUAGCAUGAAAUGCGUAGAUAUGCGGAGGAACACCGAUGGCGAAGGCAGCCUCCUGGGAUAACACUGACGCUCAUGCACGAAAGCGUGGGGAGCAAACAGGAUUAGAUACCCUGGUAGUCCACGCCCUAAACGAUGUCAACUAGCUGUUGGGGCCUUCGGGCCUUGGUAGCGCAGCUAACGCGUGAAGUUGACCGCCUGGGGAGUACGGUCGGCAAG